AAAAAAAAAACAAUGAACUUUUUGGACAAUAUGCUUCGUAUACUUCAUUCACUGAGUAUGCAAUCUAGAUUCACAAAGCUAGUUUUUAGGGUGACACUUCAUUCAGUGGAUAUGCAACUUAGAUUCCCAAAGCAAUAGGCCAGCAUUGGGACUGACUAGAUGUAGCAAAAUGACCCCAAUUUUCUAUACCAUGGUUUAGGGACACAAAACCAGGGAACACUUAACCAGGCCUAUUCUACUGGGGUGAUCAAAGAAGAGUUAAACAAAUCCAACCACAAGCACAAAAUAAAGCCCAUGUGAGCGGCACACGGCACACAUGUAACUUUAUAUUAUAAAUCAUUUCCUCAUAUUUUCAAAGGAAAGGAAGUUCUAUAAAGUGAUUGUAUUUACUACACAUCUGGUAUCAGAGAUAUUCAAGAUUGCUAUAAAAUGAUUAUUUAUAACUCAAUAGCUACUCUUGUUUACUACAUAGAAUACAUCACCAUCCCAUAUUGUUACAUUAAAUCAGCAUUUUCCCCACUUUUACUGCAUUUGUUAUCAAGCCUGUGGCUCAGGCAAAAAUGCCUUACAAAGAGCAGCCUAGAAGGUAAUAAAUAAGAUGCACUUCUAAUCUGCCUGGGGUUCGAAAGUUUAUUCCAGCUGAGUCCACAUGUAACCCAGAGAAGAAGCCCCUCUGUUUGUUCCCUUAGGCAUUCUUCCCUCUUGGAAUACAUUUCAAGGAGGGGCAGGGUAAUAUCAUCUUAGGUACAGAGCUCUGUAGGAGUACAAAGUACCCUAUGGAGCUAAGGCAGUGAGAAGACUGGACUGGGCAUUGGAUAGUGCUGACGGAGUGGGCAGGUUUUGUUCUUGUGGUCAUUCAGCAUCCACUCCUCCUUCUUUGGUAGUUGCAUUCCAAUUUGGGGGACGGAGGAUAGAAUUAUUCCUCCCUUAUGAGAUGAGUUUGGAGGAGAUUUUUACUCAAGGCUCCAUGCCUUUCUCUGGUUAAGGGAUAUUCACUUGACACAAGCAAGACCAAGUGAGCUCUUCCUAACCCAGGAGCCUCUCUGGGAUUUGAAUCACAAUCCCUCCUUGUGUGGAGGAAGACAAGAAACAGAGUGAUGAAAAGACAGAAAGCCAUCAGAGUUCAUUCAUUCGAGUGGUGGUUCUUGGAUAAGACUGCCCCCAUAUCCUAAAACCCCAAGAAAGCACCCGGUCCCUGUCCUCUGUAAGCCUGGUUCUAAAAUCCUAGGAGCCCCCUCAAACUCUUCCAAUAAAUUCCCCUGUGACUUUGUGGUUAACUUAGCUAGACUCUCUGUCUAUUACUUGCCAUCAAAGAACUUGAAGCCUAAACCCUGGGGCUGCCACGCCUUAGCUGAGUGGUCUUGAAAACUCACUUCACUCAACCCUAAAACAAACAGGACACAACCUGUCCUAUGGAGUUGAUCACACAAAUUGGCAAAUAGGAAAUUCCCAAUCUGGCGAGCGAGAUGGAUUGAGUUUACGCUGCUUCACACACUCUCUGGAGACUCCUUAAAGAUGUAUGUUGUAUAAAGAAUCAAUUCCAACUGCAGAAUGAAUGCUGACAGGCACCAUCAGCUCCUGCCCGUGUGUCUUCAACUCUCUCCCAUUGGAAAAAUCAAUGAAUCAGUAAUAAUAUUGUCCCCUCCUUCCUGUAAAGGAAAUCUGAGCUAAAUCCCAAGGCUGCCAUGUAAAUUUCCUCAUAUUGUUGCUUUCCUUCCCCCUCUCCCGCCCCAAGCCUUUGACAAAAAUGAUGGGCUGUGAUCUGUGUCCUAGUAGCAGGAAGCCUGUCAGACCUGACUCUUGCUGACUCUUUCAUCUCCCGGCAGCUCCAGGAAGCAAAAGAAAAAAAAAAAAAAAAGGUGGGGGAAUCUGCUGCCAUCACCCCCAUCCAAACCAGGCUCAGGAAAUUUUCCAGGGCCAGGCUGCCUUUGUGGAAGCUAUGUAAGGACUGGAGAAACACAUGUUCUCAUGCAAACAAACCCCAAAACAAAACAAGGGAUCCUGCCUUUGUACCUGGCCUGUCUCCAAAGGUGGUACAUUAUCUCCAAAGGUGGCCACCAUCAUUUCCUUCUCUCCCUAUAUGUGAUUUCCUUCUCUAUUGGCUCCAUUCAUCAAGAAGUAGAGGUGAUUCCUGCUCUUCCUCUUUGAACUUGGGCCAGCCUUGUGAUUUGCCUUGACCAACUGGACAUGGAGGAAGUGAUACUGUGCCGGUGCUUAGCCCGGCCUUUUAGAGGCCUGGCAUCUUCAGCUCUCUCUCAGGAGAAUACUUGUACCUGGAUCUUCACUAGGGGCAGCCAGGGCAGAAUGCGGUGUUCUCAAGACUGCCAUGCUGGCUCAUCCAUACCUUGUUGGACUUGAUAAGUAUCGUAACCUAAUGAAGGAUGCCAUUCUGUGCUCUGCAAGGCCUGGGGGAGCCCCAGUGGGAAGGGAUCCAGAUGGUGCUGGGCCUGGGCCAAAAGUGAAAUGGGGGAGGACGGGUCCUUUCUCUCCUUUGUCCCUAACCUCCCCACUUCCUACUGCUGUCUGACUCAGAACCCUCAUGAAAAACCCAACUUUUUACACUGAUAUUUCCCAGAGGCCUAAUUGUGCAACAAGAAAUAAAAACACAAUUAGGGAACUGAGGUCCAGCAGGAAAUUCAUGUUACAUAAAUAAGACCUGGAGUGCAUAGGGGAGUGCCCCAGCUCUCAGCCUUGUUAGUAUUGAAGGCUCCGAGCACACAGAUCUGGGAUCCUCUGAUUUGGUGGAUAACCCUUGUGAACAAUAAUUCUCUGAAAAGGUAUUUGGAGGAAAGAGACUUUAUUCCUGUAAACAGUUUUCAAACUAGGGGAAUGCAGCUUUCAGUGUAAAAUGAAGGUGCUUUCCAGACAACAAAGGAGGGGCUGGGCUUUUAUAGAGAAAGUUCCUGCCCUGUUCCCACUCAGGUCCACUUAUGCAAAUAAAGGAUUCAAACUUGCUUAA
rnacentral:lncRNA from 1 species